UACGGAGGGUGCGAGCGUUGUCCGGAAUCACUGGGCGUAAAGGGCUCGUAGGCGGCCAACUAAGUCAGACGUGAAAUCCCUAGGCUCAACCUAGGAACUGCGUCUGAUACUGGAUGGCUUGAAUCCGGGAGAGGGAUGCAGAAUUCCAGGUGUAGCGGUGAAAUUCGUAGAUAUUAGGAAGAACACCGGUGGCGAAGGCGGCCCACUGGUCCGGUACUGACGCUGAGGUGCGAAAGCGUGGGGAGCAAACAGG
rnacentral:rRNA from 1 species